rnacentral:tRNA from 1 species
UCCCGAAUAGCUCAGUUGGUUAGAGUAUCUGACUGUUAGUCAGAGGGGCACAGAUCUAAGUUCUGUUUUGGGAG